CGCGUAGGCGGCCCGAUCAGUCCGCUGUAAAAGUCAACGGCUCAACUGUUGAAUGCCGGUGGAUACUGUCGGGCUAGAGUCCGGAAGAGGCAAGUGGAAUUCCUGGUGUAGCGGUGGAAUGCGCAGAUAUCAGGAGGAACACCCAUAGCGAAGGCAGCUUGCUGGGACGGUACUGACGCUAAGGCGCGAAAGCGUGGGGAGCGAACA
rnacentral:rRNA from 1 species